AUUCGAUGUGUCGGUACCACGAAGACCGACGCGUUCCUAAAGCAAUCGAAAAGCGCCGAUCCUUCGCGCAGCGAACGGACAAACGGACGGGGCGGGCGGCCCCCGGCACAGAUCCCGAUGCUUCCAGAGGAGCAGCAACGGAGCCCCCAAAUUGUGCCGCUGCUCACGGAACGGCAAUGGGAAAUCCGUCGGCUUGGAGCAACAGAGGGGCUUUGCUGAAGUCAGACUGCAACUUCCGUGCGUGUAUAUAUCCUUAUAUACAUAUAUAUACACACAAUAUAUAUAUAUUGUAUAUAUACACAUAUAUACACGGUGUAUAUAUACUUCCAUAUACAUACGUACGCAUAUAUAUAUGUGAGUGUAUAUAUAUGUGUGAGUGUAUAUGUAUAUUUAUACACUUCGUGCGUGUAUAGAAGAUGCUAUUAUAUAUACAUGUGUGUGUAUAUACGUAAAUUGCACCUUCGGUUCAGACUCUCCCUCGCGAACACUGUCUCCAAUGGGACUCCCGUUGCCGGCCGUGCUGGAGAUGGAAACAACAAAAAAGCCGAAGCCAAAAGCAGAGGGGAAGGCGGUGCCGGGGGCCGUGCCAGGCUGGAUGCGGUGGUUUCGCCCCGCGGAAGGCCCCCGCGGCGGUUCUUAGAGCAGGAACGGGAGCGCAGCGCUGCCCGCAGGUUUCUGAAGCAGAAAACGAAAUGUUCUUUCCGGCCCUGGGAGCCCUCAUCGAUAGGGAGAAGGGAACGCGUCAAGAUCCCUCCGAACCGCCGUGGGCUUUUAGGGAGGGAGUUCCGCCAACCGUCGGACCCGAGGGGACGGCCGGAGCUCCCGCUGCCCGCGCGAUAACGCCGGCCCCGACGUCGCAGCGCGGGGGGUGGCGGCGAUAACAGAGUAUUUGAAGGCGCUGGGAUAAGGAGCGGAGGGACGCGCGGGCGGCACGUCGGCGCUCGGGGCGCUGCGUUAUCGGCCCGGCCCCAAACGCUCCCCGCGCCGCUCGGGUACAUCGCGUUACAUAAACACCGCCCGGGGAGAGCGCGACGGUCCCCAAAGUGACCCCUCGCAGCCGGCCCGGCCCUCCCCGAGAUGAGGUAACGAACACGGAGGGAGAAAGAAAGAGCGUUUUACGUGGCACAGUCGUAUGGGAGUGAGCGCGGGGCGUUGAGAGACAGCGGAUCGCUGCUUCGAGUAGGUUAUUUUCCACGCGUUAUCACGCCCGUUAACAAACAUCGAAAGGUAAAAAUAACGACGGAGCGCAAGGAAAUGAAAUCAAAUGCACGUGAUUAUUUUUAGGAAGAUAAAAUAAAACGCAAAUAAAACAAAAAGCCGGGAGGAGAACAUCAGUGCCCGCACAGAGCCCGGAGGAAAGCCACAAUCCGACGGAGGAACGUUCCCACUCUCUCCCCCCAUCCCGGCCCCCCCAGGUUCUCGCCGUCCCCCCCCCCCCCAAUUCACCCCCCCCCUUCCCCGCCCUUCGCGGAGCGACGCCGACAGAUCCGCAGGCGAUAACCUCGGGGCAACGCCGUUAUUUUAAUUUUCCACUCACUUUCCCGCUAUCAGUUUGUACACAGCUGAGAUAAGAGGAUCGGAGGGUGAGGGAGGGGGGGGGGGGGGGGAGGUUAGAGGGGGGAAAAAAGAAGAAGGAGAAAGAAGCGGCGGAGAAAUGCGCACCGCCGCCGGCUCGCACACGGCUUUGGCCUCACCUGACGGCCGGGGAGGAGCGCGCGUUCCCCCUCGCAGCGCUCAGACGCUAAGGAGCAGAACGAAGGGUUAACGGCGGCGACACCGCCGAGCGCGGCCCCCCCCGCCCCCCUCCUCCCCUGCCCGGCCCCCGAGCGCCGCGGUGCCCCCCCGGCCGCCCGCCCGCGGCUC
ensembl:lncRNA